rnacentral:sRNA from 1 species
GAGUAGCUGGUAUUACAGGCGUGUGCCACAAAGCCUGGCUAAGUUUUGUAUUUUUAGUAGAGACGGGGUUUCACCAUGUUGGCCAGGUUGGUCUCGAACUCCUGACCUCAAGUGAUCCACUCACUUUGGCCUUUCAACGUGCUGGGAUUACAGGCGAGAGUCACCGCACCCGGACGACUCUGACAUUUUUGAAGAGUCCAGAAUCCUGUUACACCUGGGAUUUAGGCACUUUCAAUCUGAAAAAAUACAUAUCCUUUCAGCACUCUGGACGGACUUGAGAACUGUCCUUACGUGACCUAAAGCUGGAGUAUUUUGAGAUUGGAGAAUUAAGAGCCAGUCUUGGUGCUCUGUGUUCACCUGGUUCAUCUGAGGAGCUGCAUCUACCCUGCCCAUGCCAUAGAUCCUGCCCUGUUUGCUUCUCCUGUUGCUGCUAGUGGACAUGAGAAGGACAGAAUAACGGGCUCCCAGAUUCACAAGCCCCACCAAGAGGAUCACCCCAGGAAUGCUUGGAGGCUGAGGAGUUCACUGAGGCUACUGCAUCUUGAGACUCAGGAUGAAGACCCAGCUUGGGGCUGUCAAAGGUUUUUUGCAUGUCUGACACCCAUGACUCCACCUGGACCUUAUGGCUCCACCCAGAAGCAAUUCAGCCCAACAGGAGGACAGCUUCAACCCAUUACGAUUUCAUCUCUGCCCCAACCACUCAGCAGCAAGCACCUGUUACCUGUCCAUCCCCACCCCUUCCCCCAAACUGCCUUUGAAAAAUCCCUAACCUAUGAGCUUUGAAUAAGAUGAGUACGAACUUCAUCGCCCAUGUGGCGUGGCCGGCCUCGUGUCUAUUAAAUUCUUUUUCUACUACAA